rnacentral:rRNA from 1 species
UACAGAGGGUGCGAGCGUUAAUCGGAUUUACUGGGCGUAAAGCGUGUGUAGGUGGUGACGUAAGUCGGGUGUGAAAUCCCUGGGCUCAACCUGGGAACUGCAUUCGAUACUGCGUGACUAGAGUGCGGCAGAGGGUGGCGGAACUCCCGGUGUAGCGGUGAAAUGCGUAGAUAUCCGGAAGAACAUCAAUGGCGAAGGCAGUCACCUGGGCCUGUACUGACACUGAGACAAGAAAGCGUGGGGAUCAAACAGG